AGUUUGAUCCUGGCUCAGAACGAACGUUGGCGGCGUGGAUCAGGCAUGCAAGUCGAGCGCCGCAGCAAUGCGGAGCGGCGAACGGGGCAGUAAAGCAUGGGUAACCUACCCUGGGGAUCGGGAUAGCCAUUCUAACGGAUGGGUAAGCCCGGGCGAGUUGAGCGGGCCGCAUGGCCGGCUCAAGAGAGUGAAGGCCACAGGAGGGGCUCAUGUCGUAUUAGCUAGUUGGUGGGGUAACGGCCCACCAAGGCGACGAUGCGUAGCGGGUGUGAGAGCACGACCCGCGUCACUGGCACUGAGACACUGGCCAGACUCCUACGGGAGGCUGCAGUCGAGGAUCUUCGGCAAUGGGGGCAACCCUGACCGAGCGACGCCGCGUGGACGACGAAGGCCUUCGGGUUGUAAAGUCCAAAGGUACCAAGGAAGACUGACUGAGGUACAGUAAGCACGGGCUAAGUUCGUGCCAGCAGCCGCGGUAAGACGAACCGUGCAAACGUUGUUCGGAAUCACUGGGCUUAAAGGGCGCGUAGGCGGGUCGGCACGUCUGCGGGUGAAAGACCACAGCUCAACUGUGGCAGGGCCCCAGAUACGGCGGAUCUAGAGGGAGGUAGGGGUCUGUGGAACACCAAGUGGAGCGGUGAAAUGCGUUGAGAUUUGGUGGAACUCCGGUGGCGAAGGCGACAGGCUGGACCUCAACUGACGCUGAGGCGCGAAAGCUAGGGGGUGAACGGGAUUAGAUACCCCGGUAAUCCUAGCCCUAAACGAUGGGUACUAGGCGGUGGGCAACAUGGGCUCGCCGCCGAAGCGAAAGUGGUAGUACCCCGCCUGGGGAGUAUGGUCGCAAGGCUGANCUCAAGGAAUUGA
rnacentral:rRNA from 1 species